GACGAACGCUGGCGGCGUGCCUAAUACAUGCAAGUAGAACGCUGAAGCGAGGAGCUUGCUCUUCUUGGAUGAGUUGCGAACGGGUGAAUAACGCGUAGGUAACCUGCCUGGUAGCGGGGGAUAACUAUUGGAAACGAUAGCUAAUACCGCAUAAAAUUGAUUAUUGCAUGAUAAUUAAUUGAAAGAUGCAACUGCAUCACUACCAGAUGGACCUGCGCUGUAUUAGCUAGUUGGUGAGGUAACGGCUCACCAAGGCGACGAUACAUAGCCGACCUGAGAGGGUGAUCGGCCACACUGGGACUGAGACACGGCCCAGACUCCUACGGGAGGCAGCAGUAGGGAAUCUUCGGCAAUGGGGGGAACCCUGACCGAGCAACGCCGCGUGAGUGAAGAAGGUUUUCGGAUCGUAAAGCUCUGUUGUAAGAGAAGAACGGGUGUGAGAGUGGAAAGUUCACACUGUGACGGUAUCUUACCAGAAAGGGACGGCUAACUACGU
rnacentral:rRNA from 1 species